UCGUGCUUCCCGUCUUGGAGAAACUCUUCGUCUCGUCCUCGGGAGUCGCUCUCCUCUAUUCAGUCCUGUCUCUUCUUUUCCCUCUCCUUGUCUCCUCCGCCUCGGUCCAUCGUACCCUCCUCUCCUCCUCCGUCGCCGCCGUCUCCUCUGGCCGUCGAUCCGGAUGACGGCCGCGAUGGGCUCCGCUCCCUCCGCUGCCAGGGCUUUUCCCUCCCGGACGCUGUCAACGCUCUCGGCGAUGUCAGCUUCUUGGCCGCGUCCACCGGCGAGCCCGUCCUCUUCAGAGAGGGGUCCCUUGGAUCAGGACCAGGGAAUGGCUGUGGUUGCAUUUCCAUGGCAUUUUGGGUGCAUUUGCUGGUGAGAGAACAACUUCUGAAGUCUCCAAGUGUAGUUCACCUUGUUUAGUGAGAAUAGCUAUUGGAAGUAGAGGAGGCACAAUUUUCUUCAAUCAAAAAAUGGCUAUGUUUUCUUUUCUUUGUUAAUCUUAAAGCUGGAAAAUUGCUUGAGUCUUGAAAGAGGCAAAGCCAAGAUUUGUUUUAGCUGGCGUAUUCUUUCUGAGUGGGUAUAAGUCAUACUUCUGGUUUUAUAACUAAUUAGCAGUAAGUAUAAUUUAAUGAACAUACGUACUGUGGAUAUUUGAGCUUGUAUACUUGUGCUCUAAUGGCAUCUUUUUUCUUGUGGUGACUAUAAUGGAGUUGCUGGAUUAUUUAUGUAUAGAUAACCUCAUCUCUCGUUGUUUGGAAGUUUAACUCACCAUCUCUUCCUCCAUCUUCACUUACUGCCAUCCUUAUCAAGCCCCAUAUCCAAUUUCGUAUACGAGUUCAUUGGUUACAGGUUGUUAUUAUAGUGGUCGGUGCAAGUCGAGGUUUUGAGUUGGGUGGUUCAGGUGGUAGGUUCGCCAAGGAAUACCUGAUUGCUUACCAAGAGCUUUUUUUCAAUUCAUUAUGACUUGGUUUUUCCUGGGAAGUUCCUUCCAUUGGUGAAUUUCUCCUUCAAGGCUAUUUUUUCAAAUCGAAUGAAGGCAUGGCUUAUGCUUAAAUCCAAUUGUGGUACAUAUGAGCAUGUUGAUUCUUUUUUUGGGCAUUUAAUCAGAUUUGCUCAUUUUCUCAACCAAAUGUUCAUUGACAGAUCAAUGAUCAUCUCAUCCUCUCCAAGUCGAUGAAUCAUGAUUUGCAAGUUGGUAAUCGUCUUCAUUCUAGCACAUAAGUUGGUUCUUGAUUUGAAAUAUCUAAUUUUCAUUGUUGAGAAAAUACCAGGUCAUCUGUAAGCUGAUGCAUACUAACUUCCGUGUUUGUUGAUUUUUAUCUCUGUCUUUACAUUGGGCAGCUACGUUGAUUUAGAACUCUCUGUUCCAAAGAAGAAAAGAAGAGAGACGGGCUCUCCCCUGAUUUUGAGAAGAAAGGAGAGAGCCUUCUCUCUCUUUUUUCUCUCUCAUCUUUCUCUCUCUUAUUUUCUCUCUCUUCUCUCUCCCCUCUUCACUUUUUUUUUCUACUUUCUCUCUCCUCUCUCCACUUUCUCUUUGUACUUUCUCUCUCCUUUCUCUCUUUAGAAUGUUCAAGAAAUCUGGAGUCGGAUCAUGUCGACUUGAUCUACGAACUCGAGUUGACCCCUGAAUUAGGUUCCUAAACUACUCUGGUGCCCGGGUUGCCUACUGUACAGAUCACCCGACUUUGCCAAGUGUCCAUAGAAUCCAGUAAUGAUGAACUAUGUUAAAUAACCUUGGUCUUGAUCGAGUCCAUAUUCUGGUUCCCGGGUCGCUUACUGUAUGUUUCAAGAAAAAAAUAUAAGUUUUCAAAGGCUCUCAGAUUGCUCGGACUGCCUCUACAAAUAGGGGUCAAUCGAUACUUUGGAGCUAGCAUCUAACUAACUGCAUUCUGCCAACAAGUUAAAGCUGGUAACAAGUAUGAAUUAUAAUAUCUUGUUGAUUACGAAGAUGGCUCUCUCAUGGGUUAUAGUGACUAUAGCACGAAUAUCUAUGAGCAAUAUUUUGAUCCAUGAUAGAAUUACAUGACAUGAAAAAUGAUUUACGAAUUCAUUUGCAAUAAAAAACUUGGUACUAUGUUUAUAAAAGAUGGAUGAUUUGCUUAAUGACCUAGUUUUAAUAUAUCGUAUUAUGAAAUGCUUAUUUUGUAAUAUCUAUUAUUUUUCUUAAAUGAUGCAUUUAUAUAAAAAAACAUAUGCUUGAUUCGGUAAAUUAGUGAAAGAUUUACUUAUUAAAUUGUGUCGCUCAUAUACCUCUAUUUUUCUAUUCUCUCUCUCGAUGAAUAGGGUUGAUAGGAACACAAAAUGACACAAGUUUGGAGUUCACGCUAGCAAGAUUGGCGAUCGAUAUAGCAGAGUAGAACUUUAGUUCUUUAAUUAAAUUAUAAAUUUGUAGUUAGUGAUUUUCUGAAUAGUAAGAAUUAUGGGUUUGGUUUUUAUGUUUGAAUGCAGACGCUCUGAACUAAUAUUGGUUUUAUUUAAUGGAUAUUGAAAUUAGACUUUUAGUUAUUCUAUUUUAUUUGUGAUGAAUUUGAAAGCUAAAUGUAAUGUUGGCUUCGUAUUAUUGUGGGCUAUACCUCUCGAUAACACGACCAUGUUGUAUUCUGGAUCUAGGACGUGACAAUGCAGAACAAGAUAUCUACCUAAAAUAGCCUAUGAACACCACUUAGUUGACACCUAGGCAUCCAAAGUCCCCAAAUGAGAAGUUAAGCACAUUGGUAAUAGUCUAUACAUAGAAAAUUUGAAGAGACUUUAAAGUAACCCUACCAUAAUACAGCAUGAGAAGGAUCUCAGACAUACUCAGCAUAGUCUAAUUAUGGCUCAAUAUUUCUAAUGUAUUUUGUUGGAUUUUAAUAAAAAAGAUUGGACGAUCCUCAGAAUAGUUAGCUUUGAUGGAUUCCACUCAGGAUUUCCUUCAGCAAACAGUACCUUUACAUCUCAUGCAGCAGGGCAUGGUAGGACGAGAGGGAGGCGUUUUUCAUGUUUUUGGGCCCUCCCUUCAUCAUUCCUCCAAGCUUACCAUGGAGACCCGCAAUUCCACUUUUUGUCUGGAAGCAGCUGUUGACUCCAGCCAAUACCCUUAAAAAGCAUGGCAAGUUCGUAUGGACAUGCUAAGUUUUAGUGAAACAGGCUUCUCCAUCCCUAUUCCCACAGGGACCAUCUCUCGUCCAUGGUUCUGUGACGAUAUAUCGUUAUCAACUCAAAUUAAUUCCCCUACCCCGGAAACAACAUCUACUUUUAUGAUUUUGAUAUUCUUUUUUUUAAUUGGAAAAUGAUUUGGAUGGCGACAAUAGAUUUAAUUAUGAUCCUUGCGCUGCACUGCAAUCUAUAUGGUAUUGUUGUGAAGUGACUGGUUGGACAGUUGUUCUGCCUGUCGAUCAAUCUAUCUCGGCCAUGAGACCGUGAAAAUAGCAGCCUUGUUUUGGCCACUCUGACCGGCAUCCAGCUUGAUAGAUAGCGUAAGGUAGUAGAGAAGCAAAGGGCCCAGUACUGUCCCCAGUGCCACCUCGCCAUUACUAGCCCGGCCUUUCAAGUUCUUCCGGGCAGUGGGCAGGUCAAGAACCCUUUGUGGCCGCAUUGCUACCUUGACUUGGGGUGCAAGGGUUUAAGCGCCUUUAAAAAAGUAGGGAGUGGGGAGGGAAGGAAACGCCAGAACAAUGGGCUAUUUUGUCUUUCUCGGAACACAAAUCCCUAUGGAAUGCAGGAGGGUUGCGCUAGGAACAAAGAUGUCCUCCAAAGGUGUUUCUCUGAGAGAAGCCGAGAGGGCUUAGUUCUCCAAAUCUUUCAGCUUCUUAAUUUGCAUCAGGCCUAGUGGAGAGCAGCCUGAAAGAGGAAGACGAAGUCAAUGAACAACAGCAACAGCAGCAACAGCUGGUUGGGCUUCUCUCUCUCCCCUCAAAUGAACAUGGAGAUGUCCUCAGAGCCGCAUCACCAACCAAAUAAUCAGAGUCAUCAUUAACAAGCGCAGCCCACCCAUGCUGCUGUCUCCUCUGCAGUCCCAUGCAGCUUCUUUCUGUCUCCACCUCAGCUUAACAGCUCGGGUCUCUGCUAUGGAGUUGAAGAGGAGAACCGCUCUAUUCUCAGUUGUCUGUAAUGCCGCCGAAGUCUGAUGGGUCUCUUUGCAUCAUGGAAGCACUCAGCAGAUCACAGCAGCAAGGAAUGGUGCCAUCUCCAUCCCCAAAACUGGAAGAUUUCUUAGGUGAUGGUCCAAACAUGGGGUCCCAUCAUCAGUAUGGGAACAACGAAAGGGGAGCAAUGGCCUUAAGCUUGGACAGCAUAUACUACCACCAAAACUCGCAGCCUGAGGGCAAUAGAAGCCAUCCUCUAGACCUCCUCCAAGUGCACCGGCACCAGCAGCAGCAUCCAUACUUCCAGCCGCUGCAAGAAGGCUUGUGCUCUGGGCUAACCGGCCAUGAGAUUUUUCAGGGUUCAUUGGAGGAAGAACCAAUGGCCGAAGAUGGAAUUCCAAGCUUGAGAAACUGGGUAGCCGGACAGUAUGGUACUUGCAACAAUGGAUUGGAUGAGGAAGGGGGCAUAGGGUCUAGUCUUGUCGGUGCAAUGGGGUAGGGAGGCUUGCAGUCCUUAAGCUUGUCCAUGAGCCCUGGCUGUCCACAGCUCCACAUCAGAUAAUCCGAAUCCAAACCAUUGCACUAAGAUUGUAUUGGCGCAUGCGAGCUGGCCAACUGAUCCUAAUUUUUUUUUUUUGGUACUUUGAACUCCACUCGUAUUCCAAGUCCGAAACCAAAACCAACUCCCCCGGCCGUUGCACUAAGAUUGCUUUGGCGCAUGCGAGCUAGCCAACUGAUCCUAAUUUUCUUUUUUUGGUACUUUGAACUCCACUCGUAUUCCAAGUCCGAAACUAAAACCAACUCCCCCGGCCGUUGCACUAAGAUUGCAUUGGCGCAUGCGAGCUGGCCAACUGAUCCUAAUUUUCUUUUUUUGGUACUUUGAACUCCACUCGUAUUCCAAGUCCGAAACUAAAACCAACUCCCCCGGCCGUUGCACUAAGAUUGCAUUGGCGCAUGCGAGCUGGCCAACUGAUCCUAAUUUUCUUUUUUUGGUACUUUGAACUCCACUCGUAUUCCAAGUCCGAAACCAAAACCAACUCCUCCGGCCGUUGCACUAAGAUUGCUUUGGUGCAUGCGAGCUGGCCAACUGAUCCUAAUUUUCUUUUUUUGGUACUUUGAACUCCACUCGUAUUCCAAGUCUGAAACUAAAACCAACUCCCCCGGCCGUUGCACUAAGAUUGUAUUGGCGCAUGCGAGCUGGCCAACUGAUCCUAAUUUUCUUUUUUUGGUACUUUGAACUCCACUCGUAUUCCAAGUCCGAAACCAAAA